rnacentral:rRNA from 1 species
UACGGAAGCAGCAGUGGGGAAUAUUGCACAAUGGGCGAAAGCCUGAUGCAGCUAUGCCGCGUGUAUGAAGAAGGCCUUAGGGUUGUAAAGUACUUUCAUCGGGGAGGAAAAAACAAAACUAAUAAUUUUAUUUCUUGACGUUACCCGAAAAAGAAGCACCGGCUAACUCCGUGCCAGCAGCCGCGGUAAUACGGAGGGUGCUAGCGUUAAUCAGAAUUACUGGGCGUAAAGAGCACGUAGGUGGUUUUUUUAAAGUCAGAUGUGAAAUCCCUGGGCUUAACCUAGGAACUGCAUUUUGAAACUGAAAUACUAGAGUAUCGUAGAGGGAGGUAGAAUUCUAGGUGUAGCGGUGAAAUGCGUAGAUAUCUGGAGGAAUACCUGUGGCGAAAGCGGCCUCCUAAACGAAUACUGACACUGAGGUGCGAAAGCGUGGGGAGCAAACAGGGAUUAGAUACC